AUUACUAAGUAAAUGUUUAAUACGAGUAGUAUAUUAAGUAUCAUGUGGCUAAACUGGAUUUUUUGUCACGAGCGUUCAAUCAAUCGAGUGUUUAACAACGUUUAGUCACGUAAUGCCAACGCUAUUUUUUCUACUUUUAGUAUUUAUAUUCAAUUUUUUAUAUUUUAAAUUUUUGAAAUUCGCUCACAUAUAAUAUUACUGGGAAAUGUAAGGUUAUAAAUGGCGUGCCGCGUCGACAGUAGCAUCAGCGCAUGACGUUUCAUAUCACUUUGGGCUACACCGUAGGCAAAUGCGCAGACGCAAACUCCGCCCCAUGGCUAAAACUCGUAACUAAAGUACUUUAGUCACGGCUUUGGUUAUCCAUGUUUAAUAUAUCAUUUUUUAUGUUUCUAAACCGUGGAAUUUCUAUGUAAUUUACAUUACAAAUUUUGUUUACAUUUUUGUUUCGAAAUAAUUUAAUGUAAACAUGCAUAGUAUUAUCUAAAGUGAUAAAAAAAACGUGUCUGACGUAAUUCCAACUGAUUAGAAAUGUACUACAUAUAAAACUAAACAUAAACUUGCUUUUAAUUAGAGUAUAAACUAAUUGUGCCGGAGCUAAGUCAGAAAAUAAGAUUUUUAACCAUGAAAUCCAUGUUUGUACUUUGUAUUUUAUUGUUAAACGUGUAUAAUUCAAUACAAAUGCAAACAAAUUUAAAUCCUGCUCUGUGUGGACCUAAUCAAGAAUGGACAUCAACUGGUAUCAAUUGUAACACUUGUGAAAAUACCAGAUGCGUUCGAUGUGCUCUCAUUAAACAACCAGGAUGUUUCUGUGAUUCUGAUUCAAUCCGUCCAAAUUUAAACACGUUUGAUUGUAUUAAACGCGUUGAUUGUCCAGUUUGUGUUCCUGCCAAAAACCGUGAUUGUUCUUGUCAUCAAAAUAUUCAAAAAUAAUUUAUUCUUAUAUUAUUACUAGCUGCUGCCCGCGACUUCGUUCCGGCAGUGUUUAAUAAAAAUGUAAUUCGUUUUUA